rnacentral:rRNA from 1 species
UACGGAGGGGACUAGCGUUGUUCGGAAUUACUGGGCGUAAAGGGCGCGUAGGCGGCCAGCACAAGUCAGUUGUGAAAUCUCCGGGCUUAACUCGGAAAGGUCAACUGAUACUGUGCGGCUAGAGUGCAGAAGGGGCAACUGGAAUUCUCGGUGUAGCGGUGAAAUGCGUAGAUAUCGAGAGGAACACCUGCGGCGAAGGCGGGUUGCUGGGCUGACACUGACGCUGAUGCGCGAAAGCCAGGGGAGCGAACGGG